CCUACGGGUGGCAGCAGUGGGGAAUAUUGGACAAUGGGGGAAACCCUGAUCCAGCGACGCCGCGUGAGUGAAGAAGUAUUUCGGUAUGUAAAGCUCUAUCAGCAGGGAAGAAAAUGACGGUACCUGACUAAGAAGCCCCGGCUAACUACGUGCCAGCAGCCGCGGUAAUACGUAGGGGGCAAGCGUUAUCCGGAUUUACUGGGUGUAAAGGGAGCGUAGACGGCAGAGCAAGUCUGGAGUGAAAUGCCGGGGCCCAACCCCGGAACUGCUCUGGAAACUGAGUAGCUGGAGUGCAGGAGAGGUAAGCGGAAUUCCUAGUGUAGCGGUGAAAUGCGUAGAUAUCAGGAGGAACACCAGCGGCGAAGGCGGCUUACUGGACUGUAACUGACGUUGAGGCUCGAAGGCGUGGGGAGCAAACAGGAUUAGAUACCCGUGUAGUC
rnacentral:rRNA from 1 species